AUUGAACGCUGGCGGCAUGCCUUACACAUGCAAGUCGAACGGUAGCGGGCCUUCGGGUGCCGACGAGGGGCGAACGGGUGAGUAAUGCAUCGGAACGUACCUUUCAGUGGGGGAUAACGUAGCGAAAGUUGUGCUAAUACCGCAUACGCCCUGAGGGGGAAAGUGGGGGAUCGCAAGACCUCACGUUAUUCGAGCGGCCGACGUCUGAUUAGCUAGUUGGUGGGGUAAAGGCCUACCAAGGCGACGAUCAGUAGCGGGUCUGAGAGGAUGAUCCGCCACACUGGGACUGAGACACGGCCCAGACUCCUACGGGAGGCAGCAGUGGGGAAUUUUGGACAAUGGGGGCAACCCUGAUCCAGCCAUGCCGCGUGAGUGAAGAAGGCCUUCGGGUUGUAAAGCUCUUUCGGCCGGGAAGAAAUCGUAUCAGCUAAUACCUGGUGCGGAUGACGGUACCGGCAUAAGAAGCACCGGCUAACUACGUGCCAGCAGCCGCCGUAAGAC
rnacentral:rRNA from 1 species